AUAUCAAUAAGCGCAGGAAAAGAAACCAACAGGGAUUACCUCAGUAACGGCGAGUGAAGCGGUAAUAGCUCAAAUUUGAAAUCUGGCCUCUUGGGGUCCGAGUUGUAAUUUGUAGAGGAUGUUUUGGGUACCGCCCCGGUCUAAAUUUCUUGGAACAGAAUGUCAAAGAGGGUGAGAAUCCCGUCUUGGACCGGCGGUAGGGCCUGUGUAAAACUCCUUCGACGAGUCGAGUUGUUUGGGAAUGCAGCUCAAAAUGGGUGGUAAAUUUCAUCUAAAGCUAAAUAUUGGCCAGAGACCGAUAGCGCACAAGUAGAGUGAUCGAAAGAUGAAAAGCACUUUGAAAAGAGAGUUAAACAGUAU
rnacentral:rRNA from 1 species